UAAAUUGGAAAGUACUCUCUCCUCUGCUAUUUUCUGGAAGAGAUUGUAUAGAAUUAUGUUAAUUCUUAUUUCAGUAUUAGCAUAUUCAUGAAAAUGACUUGAUCAAAUAGCUACCUACAUAAACUAUGGGGCCUGAAUUUUGGAAUGCGUUUUGCUUUUAAAAUCAACCACAUAUGUUUUUAGAAGUUCAUCACUUUGCCAAUGGGAGGGACUCAAUAUGCACUUUAUAAGUGACUGAAUGACUGAAGGAGUGGGGAGAUGAAUCAAUCAUCCUAAAAAAUAUGAUCAGCCAUUUCAAAGUGGCAUUCUUGAUGCGUUUUCCUUUUAUGGCAAGGCAAACACACAAAGUUCCCUGUGUAAGACAGAAUGCAUUUAUUAUAUGGCUGGUAACGAUUAGGGCAGUGCUAUAUAGCCACGAAAGAAAAUCAUUCUCUGAGAGAAGCGAACGUUCAAAACCUAAGCCUGUGGUUUUGACAUUAUUAGUACCACUCUACCUGCUUAAGCAUUGACAAAUUAUUCAGUAACAGAUAAUGACUGGCUGGGGUGGCAAACAUAGAUGCUACUACCUCCAUAAUUGCACAACUACAUACUGUAAAAUUGCAUUAUGCAAUGGAGUCAAGUUAAAUAGGGUAUAAUAAAAUAAACUUGUUUUGUAUUUAGACAGAACUUUGCAAAGUUAACAAUUUCAUUUUCAUCU
rnacentral:lncRNA from 1 species